rnacentral:tRNA from 1 species
CAAAAAAUAAUUUAAGAAUAAAAUAAUAAUUUUGGAAAUUAUAAAUAUAAAUUAGUUUAUUUUUUUGA